rnacentral:rRNA from 1 species
AUUGAACGCUGGCGGCGUGCUUAACACAUGCAAGUCGAUCGGUAACGCGGGGGCAACCCUGGCGACGAGAGGCGGACGGGUGAGGAACGCUUGGGAAUCUGCCUAUCAGCGGGGGACAACUCGGGGAAACUCGUGCUAAUACCGCAUACGCUCUACGGAGGAAAGCCGGGGACCGCAAGGCCUGGCACUGAUAGAUGAGCCCAAGCCGGAUUAGCUAGUUGGCGGGGUAACGGCCCACCAAGGCGACGAUCCGUAGCUGGUCUGAGAGGACGAUCGGCCACACUGGGACUGAGACACGGCCCAGACUCCUACGGGAGGCAGCAGUGGGGAAUAUUGGACAAUGGGGGAAACCCCGAUCCAGCGACGCCGCGUGGGUGAAGAAGGCCUGCGGGUUGUAAAGCCCUUUCGGUAGGGACGAAAGCUCUCGACCUAACACGUCGGGAGGUUGACUUAACCUACAAAAGAAGCACCGGCUAACUCUGUGCCAGCCGCCGCAGUAAAAC